UACGUAGGGUGCAAGCGUUGUCCGGAAUUAUUGGGCGUAAAGAGCUCGUAGGCGGUUUGUCGCGUCGGCUGUGAAAACCUAGGGCUCAACCCUGGGCUUGCAGCCGAUACGGGCAAACUAGAAUUCGGUAGGGGAGACUGGAAUUCCUGGUGUAGCGGUGAAAUGCGCAGAUAUCAGGAAGAACACCCGUGGCGAAGGCGGCUCUCUGGAACGCAACUGACGCUGAGACGCGAAAGCGUGGGGAGCAAACAGG
rnacentral:rRNA from 1 species